UGUGAGAUGACCAUGAUUCACUUUACUAUAUUAGAUUCAUGCACUUGCAAUAUGUUAAAAUUUUGUGCGCAUCACUUACAAAACACACAAGGCUGCACUCCAGUAUGUGACACUAAUCAUUUUUAUUAAUCUCCAAUUCUAUGAAGCAUAAUUGCCACUUUCCUGUCCGCUGUUUUAACCAAAAGGCAUAGAACUUUAGACCUAAUUAACUCAAUUUUUCUAAUAGUGCAUGUGACGCAUAUGAUAUAUAUGUAUAUAUGUAUAUAUAUACAUACAUGGAGCACAUGAAAUAGACCUGCAAACAAAGCUUGCUAAUUAAUUUUCAUGGUGAGGCUUGAUAGUUCAACCAUAUAUAGCACGUAGUGGGAAGUCCAUUAAUUAGAUUUUCUAACUUUUACUUUAAAAAUUGAUCGUAUCGACUUUGUUUGUUCGUAGUCGUAUGCAGCUGUUGAAUUUUCAAUCGAAAACAACAUGGAAUUGGAACCCAUGAAAUUAAGAAACUAUGCAAAUGCAACUAUGAAUAAUAUAUAUAAUGACAAUUCUUCAAUUCAUCUCUCUAUAAAUACAUUCUCAUCUCAUGCCAGCUCAUGCAAUUCAGCCAUAUAUCUUCAGACUGAGUUGCUGUUGCUGAUUAUCAACGAAAACUCAUGGAACCAAAGGAAUCGAUCAUCAGUAUUUUUCUUUUUUUCUUUUUUUUGAUAUAGAUAUCCAGAGGAUGAAAAGAGGCAACAAGGUGCCUCAGAAGGCUCACAUAAUGUCAAGCCAACAACUACCAGCUGCGAAAGCUCUCAACAAACAACAAAAAUGUGAAUGAAACUAAGGCGUAAGUGCUGGUCAAAACAAAAAACGUGAAUGAAACUACGGUGCAAGAAACAAAACCGAUUGAUUAGAAGACAAUUUUCUUAUAAUCAGUUCUCAUAUGUUGAAGUCAAAUAUUGUUGCUUUUGAUAAAUGACAUGCAUAUAUAUAUAUAUACAUAUAUAUAUAUAUAUAUAAAUCAAUAAAAGUAAUGGUGUUUGAAACAGAUCAAAUUAUAGGAAACUGUGUAAAGAUGGAGUAAGGUCGACAGGAACCCCUGGAGGUUCUGUAGGUACACAUGACCAUCCACGAGAAUAUAACUCAGUAUCCUAUCAACCACCAAAUGGGGAUGCAAAGAGGCAAGCAAGUACCACAGAAGGCUCGACAGAAACACAUAAGCAUAAUAAUAAUAAUAUCAAGCCAACCAUUUCCUGUGAAACAUCCCAAACAACAGAUGAGACUCAAACUGAAGCAUUGUCUCAUCCAUUAACAUCCAGUGAUGGAGACCCGCCGAGAGGAACUGAUGGAGGCGACUCAGCUACAAAUGGGUUCCAGAAAACUGAAUAACUCAGUGGUCUGGUGCCAUUUCUGAUUAUGAGAAUGAACAACCUACGUGCCUAUGCAUCCAAUAUAGUAGGUCACACAGCUGCAUGAAUAUGAACUUAAUUAGUCCUACCUAGGAUAUAUGAUGUCGUUAAGAAAUGAGUUUAAAAUAAGUGUGGCAGCUGGUAUAUUUUAGACUUUUGAUGUU